GCUGGGUGUAGUGGCGCAUACCUGUAAUCCCAUCACUUUGGGAGGCUGAGGUGGGUGGAUCACUUGAGGCCAGGAGUUCGAGACCAGCCUGGCCAACAUGGAGAAACCCCAUCUCUA
rnacentral:sRNA from 1 species